UAAUGGAGCCACUGCGUUGUAAACGGAUUUAAACACAACUUUGAUUUGAAUACCAAUUUAGUAUCGUAAAAACAUUUUCCCAAACAUGAAGUUCACCCUGACUCUGAGCCUUGCUCUGGCAAUAUUGACUGGUUGGGCAUCGGCAUCAAAUCAUGGUCCACCACCAUUCUUUCCGGCACCAUAUCGAAAAUGAACAAAAAAAUGAAUUAUUAAUAAAUAAACUGUUUUCUAAAUAUUUUAGUUUCAAAUCGAUGUCAAUAUACUAUAUUCUAAAUGAUUAA